UAUACACUAUAAUACCGUAUUUAUAGCAUUAAGAAAAUAAAGAAAAACAUGUAUAUUGUAUAUGUACUAGUCUACGUCGGUUGACGAAAUAAAUAAAUAAAUAAAUAAAUAAAUAAAUAAAUAAAUAAAUUAGAUUGCUAAUGGCGCUACAAAUCAUGUGAUCAUCAAGUUUUGUUCAAGACGGUACCGUGCAAAUUCAAACUUCGGACGCUUAAGCACUUUUCGCUGUGAAAUCAGUCUGUUAACAAACAUUUUAAGUCUCACCGUUCUAAUUACCAUCACAAUCAUAGAGCAUAUCGCUUAUAUUUGUAACACGGGAUUAACAUGUACGAACUAUUGUGUAGAAUCCUUCCGUUUAAUAGAAAUAUUCGGCUUCUGUUUCACUCAAACUUCGGACAGCAGCAACAUUGGAUUCAUAUUUCGGACACAAUGUUUCAAACUUCGGACAACAAGUUACACAAUAUUGAAAAGAAAUAUUGCAAAUGAUUAUCAGUACAUAGCUCAGACUGACAUUCAAUUAUUUCAUCACAUUGAAUUAACAUGGAUUACUAGAAUAAAACUAUCCUAAAUAAAGCUAAAACUAUGAGCCCUUUCAAUUCAGCUGGAUGAAACAUUUCAAUGACAUAUUUCUGAAAAACUCCCAUACAAAUUGGAGUGUCCGAAGUUUGAGUAUGUCCGAAUUAUGAUUAUCCAUGGUACUCUUCAUGCUGGCAUUGUCGGUUUGUAACAUCCUAGAUUGUACAGUCAGUCGACUCUACAUCUCGAUGUUCUAUAUUUCGAUAUCUCUCCCUAUGUCGAUGGUUUCCUUGGUCCAUUCAAUCUACAUACGAAAUGUUCUUUACAUACGAAAUGUUCUAAUCCGAUUGAUGACUCUGUUAUGACUGAUAACCAGCUGGUGGAAGAUGUAAGCAGCAGUGACACUCUGGAUUCUGAUGGAAGUUAUGUUUCAGAGCAGCACAGGAAAAACGAAAGAGCACAAAGCAAGAACAACGUAGAGCUGGAGCAGCAAAAAAGCGCAGAGUUUCUCGUCCAUCGAAACUCGUACUAAAGGGUGUACGGAAUCAAAUUGCAUCACUUUCAAAAGUCGAUAACAGUUCGCCUUCUGGGCCGAUUUUAACGAAAUUUUGUGGAAGACGGCUUCAGCAUAUGUUAUUCACACUGCGUGGGGCCCUCCUUAGCCGUGUGGUAAGACGCACGGCUACAAAGCAAGACCAUGCUGAGGGUGGCUGGGUUCGAUUCCCGGUGCCGGCCUAGGCAAUUUUCGGAUUGGAAAUUGUCUCGACUUCCCUGGGCAUAAAAGUAUCAUCGUGUUAGCCUCAUGAUAUACGAAUGCAAAAAUGGUAACCUGGCUUAGAAACCUCGCAGGUAAUAACUGUGGAAGUGCUUAAUGAACACUAAGCUGCGAGGCGGCUCUGUCCCAGUGUGGGGACGUAAUGCCAAUAAGAAGAAGAAGAAGAAGAGUUUCAUUACGAAAUUUCCAAUAGUUUAUAAAAUACAGCCAAAGGAACAGGGCGUGUGCAAAUAAAUCUUGCGCAUUCACCUCCUUAUAAAAAGAUGUUAGUAAUCCAAUUUUGUGCCUAUGAUCCCAAAAUCACCAGAAUUGCGGCCGAUCGAAAGAUACUGAUCGAGAAUGAAAACACGAGCUUCGGAAGCCUUCAAAAUUGAUCAUUACGGAACAUAAAAUGUUGAUUUGGCCUUUAUCAUCAACAUUUCGUAUUGGUUUAUAACUCCAACGUCAACAUUUUCGAUUAUCCGACUAAUACAGGUAAACUUUCCAACAAACUUUCUAUUUAGUCGCCUCUAUAGUAAAAAACUCAAAGGUGCAGCCCGAUCGGGUUGUACGCAAAGGUGACGUUGAACUAUGUACGUAGGUGUAUGUAAUAUAUAGGUUUUCGACUUUUCUGUUCGAUGAGAUCAAAGCAAGCGUUUUUCGAGCCCAGGGUGAAUCUGUUUACGUUGUUUAUCCUGUGCUCCUGAUAUUGAGUGAGCAUUACGAACCCUGGUGAUUUAUAUAAUUUUUAGACCAACAUUUGAAAAUAAAAUUUACAAAUAAUCGAGGAUGGAUAACACUCUCAAGCAAUAACAUAUCAAAAUUAUCAAAUUAUAAAAAACUCGCUAGAGAGUUAGAAUCGUUUGAUAAUUGUAUCUCGAUUCGAAGCGUUGGUAAAUGCUACUUUUGAACUUAUUUUCCUACAUGGCAUCAAAACAUAAUGCCAAACAUCCGAUUGAACUUCAUUGUUGACAUUAUAUUAAACUGAUAAUUUUGUGUUUAUUAUCAAUCGAUUCUAAAAUUUGAAACUCGUCUACUUUUCACACCUGAGAAAUUAUCAAAGAGUUAUCGUAUGAGAAUGAUUCAGCACAACCCUGGCUGAUUUGUGUCUACUCCGGCAGACACCUAGGAAUCAGAAAAAACGAGCCGAAGAAAGUUUCCCUGAACGCAUCGCAUCCACUACAGCAGCGAAGAAGAUUCCGAGCCUUUCUACUGGCAUCAAUAGAGUAAGCGGCUGAGAUAUUAACGAUCAAAGUCUAUCAUAUUUUCGUGACGUUUUUCAAUUUUUCGCAAUCGUAAAGUGUACCCCAAUAUAGAAAAGACAGACGUAGUUCUACGUCAAAAUCAAAAUCAGAAAAAAUAGAAAAGCACUGAAAUCCAAUUUUGGACUGAUAUUUGCACAUUUUGGGAGAGCAUCAAUCUUAUUAUUCAGGCCGGUUCACACUGCAGCACUUUUUUUGAUUUUUUGUUUUCGAUUUUUAUAAUAGUUAGAGCCGUCAAAAAAUAAGUUUUUUUGGAAAAGUUGACUUUAAUUAAGUUAAAUAACCGACUGAGAGAAUAAAAUUAGUUAUUUUUUUUGUUGGGAUAGAUUGCAGGAUGGGAAAUGUUAGUUAAAGACAUGUACAAAAUCUUAUGAGUUCAUUUAAGAAAAAAGAUUCAGCAUUUGGAUGUAUUUGAGAAUUACAGUGAAACAAUUAUACGUAGUCAAAGCUUACAUAUUGUAUUUCAGUCCCUGAAAAUUUCAUGACAAUCGGUUGAUAGACUAAUUUUUGGCGAGUACACAGCAAAAAUAAUUGUAAAAUGCAUCGACGUAAUUCACAUGAUGUAACGAAAAAACGAUGUAAACAUUGAAAAAAGAUGUAAUAUAGCGUUUAUUUUUAUGUAUUAUUACAUCGCUUAUAAAUUACACAAAAGAAAAAUCGCCAGUCGAAUUCACGUUGCAUUUGUGUAAUAAUAACAUAUUUAGGCCGAGCAUAUUAUGGAACGUACACACGGUCAAGCAGUUGGACCAACAUUAACUCCACCUCUCAUUUAUUCAAACAUCCAUCAAGUUUUACCAACACUGGCACGAACAAUCAAUUUAUUCGACCAACAAUAUUACACACGAACAACCGAAGCGCCAACUUGAGCACCAACCAUCAAAAAAUAUAUGGGGGUUUGUGCAACUUCACUACAAAUGCUCAAACAUCUUCGACGAACCUUGACUCCACCCCCGACAACUCAAACCAAAAUCAAACCAUUUGAAUUUUUUCCAACCGAGCCGCCAACUGUCAAAUGGUUGUUCGAACAACUUCAUACACGUUCAAACAAAACAGCAACCGAAGCGUUUUCUUAGGGGCGGAGUUAAUGUUCGUCAAACUGCUUGACUGGUGAGUACGUUGCAUUACAUACAAACAGAUGCAACCAAGGAAUUCUAAUGAGAUUGUAGUGCUGUCCAAUGAGCAGCUCGAAGUAGCUCGAAGUUGUUCCCGUCCUGCUCGUUCUUUUUUGUCAACAAAUGGGCAUGAGCAGGACAGGGAGAAAUUUCGAGCUACUUCAAGCUCUCAUUGGACAGCACUUGUGUAGUAUUACACAAGUUUGAUGUAUAAUCACAUUCGAAGAUAAGGCAAUUGAAUAUAGCAACACUGACUCAGACUUUGUUUUGUUCGGUCAGGUUGGCCGUUCGGUGUCAUUUUUAUCGUCUCAGAUUUUUUUCAAAAUGGUAGCAGUAUAUGUAUUAUUUUGUCUUUAAUUUAAAUUAUUUACAUAGCUUAUGGUACGGCAAAUUGUUUUUUUGUAUACUUAACGCAAUGUAACGAAAAUCUUUUUCUUUUACAGCUGGAAAUCUUUCCGACAACGCAUCAGGAAUCCUUUCGGAAUCACGAUUGGAAUUCGAUUCCCGUAAAGAACCCGAAAGGAAUACCGUUGCGAUUCGAAAAGAAUUUCAGUCGCGCUGCAAAAGAAUUCCCAUCACGAUUUCGAAAGCAUUCCUGCUGCGGUCUCGAAAGUAUUCUCGCCGCUAUCCCGAAUGGAUUCCCGAAAGUAUCCCUGUCGCGAUUUGUACAGAAUUCUCGUAGCGAUUCCUGAAGGAAUUCCGUCGAGAUUCCGUUAGGUAUUCGGCUUGCGGUGUCAACAUUCCGAGGCUGGCUACAAUUGGUGCGCAUGAUACUCUACACGGCCAAAUACAGUUCCUCCACCCGAACACUUAAACCACCAGUACAACGACCGGAGUUCGACCUGCUGAUGAGCGAUAUGGUACACAAUCUGCGUUGGUACAAGAUGGCCACUGGUACUGAGGUACACAUUUGCCCUGGAGAAUAUAAAUAUUUAAAUACUCCCAAAUACACUCUGCGGAACAUUGUUUGUCCCUCGGUUUAUUCAAUAAAAACAUAUUUGCAUAUUCAAUAAAUAAAAUAUGAUGUUCUAAUCUGUUUUGUUUAUUAUUGAAAGAGCAAAAUUUGAGGAUUGUUUACAUCUUAAUUUUAUUACAUCGCUUUGUUUACGUUGCAUUUUACUACAUCGCAAAUAUUACAUCGAUUUUCUGGAUUACACAGGAAGCUCGCGGGUACAUCGUAGAAUGUAAUUUUACACAAUCGAUGCAUUCAACGGGUUGCAUCGAUUUUGAUGUAAUAUUCAACAACUUUUUUUGCUGUGUAGUUCAAAGUGAUGCAAUUUGAUUCCGUACACCCUUUAAGCGAUUGGAGAAAAGGUUGCCCGAAUAAUGUGUCGAUGGAAAAUCGCUUCGAUCAAGCGUCCUGGAAGUCAGACACCGCGGGACAAGCAGCGUUUUUUCGCGAGAGAGUGAACCAAAUCUAAAAGCGCCGAUCGUCAUGAUAUCAAGGAAUCUCGCUAUGUCUAUCGACAAGCUCGGCCAGGAGUAAUACGAAACGUGUGUUACUGCUGAAGAACAUCAAAAUUUAAUGGGACACAUGGAAAACAUGUAUGUUGUAAUUUGGCGUAUACGUCACUUUUUCAGAGUACGUCAGUACAGGCGAAUCCUGACCCUGAAUACAUUCCACAAUAUCCAACACCGUGGUGCUUUUGAGGGUGUCGCUGAGUCGGGGCCUCUCUUUAAGUAAGCACUACAUCAACACAUUCCUUCCCCUUCCAAGUAAAGGUGAAGAUGGGUGUGGCCAGGAAUAGUAAUUCUCACGCUUUUUGUGAUUUUUGUCCUAGAUUGAAAUCAAGGAUCACACACAUCUUGAUUUUUUAUAACAAUCUGGAUAGAGAUUUCAAACGAUAAACAUGAGUAUCGCCACUGUCCAAUCUAUGAAGUACACCGUAACUAUGCUAUGAUAUGCUAUUGAACGUAUCGGAUGACUCGAGAAUGGUCGAUUCCGACAAUUUCGACGAGAGACGAGCUCGUAUUUCAAAUGGCGAAGAGUAUCAAGAAUUUUCAAUUCGUGCGAAACGACGCACCUUAGAUUAGACGUAUAAUAAGCAAAAUUAUGUCCCUAGUCAUAACAAAAAUACUCUAUCACAUACACACACUCUCAAUAAUUUAAAAUAUGUGAACACAUUACAUCUUCGAUGUCAAUAAGAUGCGAUGAAAUCGCAUUAGAAAAAAACAUUUCCUACAAGUGCGAUGUAUGGGCUUAUUGGGAACAUAAUAACCUAUCUUGAGGCAAACCUUCAUAACAAUAAAAAUUACAAGACUGGCUACAUAUCAUAUUGAUCUUCUACUCAAAAUAACUAUCCCUGAAAUCCUGUAUUCCAAGUAGAGUUUGAGUAUAAAGCUCUAAUCGACUGAACCGAGACUGCUGCAACUGCAACAGGUGAUAAAUAUCAACAUUCCGAUUAGCAACACAUUAUCUCAAUUUACCAUCUUUGUAAAAUAUCGGUUUUGGGAAAUAUCAGGUGAAAUUAUGCUAAGGGUCUGUUCACAAAUUAUGUAACGCUUUUGGGGGGAGGUCCAACUUGCGUUAUACUUUGUUACACUAAAAGGUGGGGGAGGGGGUGGGUACUACCAAAUGUUACCCAUAACGUGAAUAAAAAUGUAUUUGAUUGUUUUUUUAAAUCCCUGAUUGGAGUAUGACUGAAACUUGUAUUUUUUUAAAUUCUGAAAGACAGCCAGUUUUGUUUGAAAAAUUGUUGCUAGAUUUCGAGGCAUUUUUGUCUCACGUAAUUUAUGGUUAGAUGUAACAAACCAUAUCGUUUCGUUAUCGUAUAUUAGUCAUUAUCAAAAUCAAGCAUAUAGCGGGACUGAUAUGCGUUGAAACACCAAGCAAAUAUUGUAUUUCUCGACAGUACAGUUCCGCUGAACUAUUUAAAUGGCCAUGGUCGCAAAUUCUAUUUUCGUUUCUACAAGCUGCAUUCUUGAUAUUCUUGGUUUUUUAUAAUGUGCCGUCCCUAUUCUAACAGUGUUAAAAAAUACCAAAACCCACAUGCUUCAUAUGCUUCAGAGAAGAAAAAAAAAUCUGCCUUUAAAAUUUUCACAGUUACGCGUUAUAUGGGGGGGGAGGAAAUUGCAAAAAUGUU